CCCAGACUCCUACGGGAGGCAGCAGUAGGGAAUAUUGCUCAAUGGGGGGAACCCUGAUGCAGCGACGCCGCGUGGGUGAAGGAGCGUUUCGGCGCGUAAAGCCCUAUCGGCAGGGAAGAAGGAGGACGGUACCUGACUAAGAAGCCCCGGCUAACUACGUGCCAGCAGCCGCGGUAAUACGUAGGGGGCAAGCGUUAUCCGGAUUUACUGGGUGUAAAGGGGGCGCAGACGGCAGCGCAAGCCAGGAGUGAAAGCCCGGGGCCCAACCCCGGGACUGCUCUUGGAACUGCGCGGCUGGAGUGCAGGAGGGGCAGGCGGAAUUCCUGGUGUAGCGGUGAAAUGCGUAGAUAUUAGGAGGAACACCAGUGGCGAAGGCGGCCUGCUGGACAGUAACUGACGUUGAGGCUCGAAAGCGUGGGGAGCAAACAGGAUUAGAUACCCUAGUAC
rnacentral:rRNA from 1 species